rnacentral:rRNA from 1 species
ACGAACGCUGGCGGCGUGCUUAACACCUUCCAGUCGCACGGAAAGGCCCUGCUUUUGUGGGGUGCUCGAGUGGCGAACGGGUGAGUAACACGUGAGUAACCUGCCCUUGACUUUGGGAUAACUUCAGGAAACUGGGGCUAAUACCGGAUAGGAGCUCCUGCUGCAUGGUGGGGGUUGGAAAGUUUCGGCGGUUGGGGAUGGACUCGCGGCUUAUCAGCUUGUUGGUGGGGUAGUGGCUUACCAAGGCUUUGACGGGUAGCCGGCCUGAGAGGGUGACCGGCCACAUUGGGACUGAGAUACGGCCCAGACUCCUACGGGAGGCAGCAGUGGGGAAUAUUGCACAAUGGGCGGAAGCCUGAUGCAGCAACGCCGCGUGCGGGAUGACGGCCUUCGGGUUGUAAACCGCUUUCGCCUGUGACGAAGCGUGAGUGACGGUAAUGGGUAAAGAAGCACCGGCUAACUACGUG